GUUUAGCACGCUUCAAUGAGAAACAUUUCUCUUAAUAAAUAUAUUUUAAAUAAUUAUGUUUAAAUGAUUACCUAAAUAAAAGUUAAGGUAUCGAUAACUGGGGUUUUAUUUUAAUUCCCAUCACUAGUCACUACCCGAUCAGUCUUUAGUUGCGAUGCGCGAUUCAAUCGAUACCUCUUUUUUUCGUUAUAUCUUCUUACCCUCUUGUCAUAUCCCCCGGCGUAGCAAACUUGAGAUAGAACAGUUGAUUCUCUAUUAUUUAUAGAAGGAGCAUAGAUUGUAUCUUAUUUUUCGAUAGAGAUAUGAGGUUUUUUAAAGAAAUUUUUUUAGGUGAUUGGUUAGGUCUCAUACGUACUACAGUGAAGGUCAGUUAUGAGAUCAAAGAGGUUUCUAACGCACUGCCUGGAAGUCCUCUGAAAAUGGCACCUCACUCAGCGUGUUAAAUAUAUACAUAGUAUUUACUCAAUAUGCCGCGCAUUUAUUAUGCAAACUUGGCAGAUAGAUUGUGGUCUAUAUGUACUAAUAGAUCCUUUAUUAGUAAGAGCUAAACACUUUUCAUUACAAUGUAGAAAUUAACAAUAUCUAAUACAAUUUAUUAUUUACAGUGCAAUGGUUGAAGAAUCAAUCUGGAAAUACAAUAGCUCUGGUGAACGACUACACGUUUUUCCGUGUUAACAAAUUUUCGGGUAGUCGAAAAUCAAUAUGGAGGUGCACGCGAGGCUCGAAGGGUUGCAAAGCACGUUUCACUAUCGUCGACUUCGCGAAUAUUGUCAAGGGCAGUUUUGUGCACAACCACCGUUGUUCAGAAUAUUUUAUAGAGGAUGGGGUUUAUAUGCGAAGUAAAUAUGGUAGAAAUAGGAAAAAUCGUAUACCAUAAACAUACGUAAUAUUUCUAAGCCGUUAAAGCACAUGACGUAUCAUAUUAAGUAUGCACUAACCAAAAAUUUGUUAUGUAUGGAAUAAACUGAGUCACUGAAACUCGAGCCGAAUAAUGCUUACAAUUUUUGAGGAUUGAGAAAAAAUAAUAAAUCGUUUCUUGGUAUUGGCAGACCCCAGAAUUUUCUGGUGUUGGGUGCUAAAGAUAAAAAUGGUGUUGGAAUCAAUAUAUUAUAAUAAUAAUAAACGCUGUUCUGGUGAGGCAUCAUCUAUAUUAAUUAAUAAUGAGUUCUGGAUUGUCUUCAUGAGUUAGUCUUAUACUUGUAUUAGUAUAAUUGUAAUAAUAGAAUUGAAAAUUGUAAUCGUAAUCUAGACGUAAUUAUCACUUUAUUUGGUCUGUAAUUUCAGUAAUAUUUUAUAGGGGGAGACAUUUUAAAUGCAAAUCGUAAUUAGAUCUUUUAAUGUAAUGAAUUAUGACAAUUAUAAUUGUAAUAUAUGCAUACGUUUUUUAAUCAAUGGAAUUACCUUGAAGUUUUAUUAUGAAAUAUAUUGUAACUGUCUUCGUUUCAUUUCUGUCCGAAAAUAAUACCUAAUGUCGCCUAUUUCGCAAUCACUAUCAUACAGUUUACAAUAGAAUUACUAAUAAUCACUGGCAGGAAUUUGCUAGAUACAGGACUAUUUUAAAAAAUUUGAGAGAGGCUUAUGCCAGCCGUGAUUGUCUUGGUUGCCAUUAACAUAGACUUUUUGAAGUUAUAUUUUAUAUCUACAAUUAUAUGUCAAAACAUUUCGUGGCGCUCCCUCAUAGGCUGUUCAAUCUACAGCUAAGUUUACACUAGCAAGUUCUCGCAGCUAUAUAUUGCGCAAUAACUUUCCGAUGCGUUUACAUUAGCGGCAAUAUUUGAAUUAUUAAAUACACAUGCACCGCAAAUCCUGCAAAUCUUCAAUUGUAAGUUUUCGUGGAAAUCGUAUUCUCGCUUAAAGACAUAAGUAACAAUAACACAAUAUUACAGUAACAUUAAAAUGGGUGAAAAUGGACACCGGAGAGCUGAUGGCGUUAGUGAACAACUACUCGUUCUGUUUAAAGUCUACGUCAGGCAAGUGUGGUCUGUGGAAGUGCUCGAAGACGUACUGCAAGGCGCGUUUCACACUCGUCGACGGGAAGACUAUGAUCAAGACACAUUUGACGCACAACCACGCCGCCCGAACGUAUCAUAUCACGAAACGGGUUUUUAUUAAAAUUUAAUGUCAUUUGUAUGUGGGCGUUGGAGAUAUAUAUAUUGUGCCUGCGGCUUCGCCCGCGUGGAAAUAUUUCCGGAAUGAAAAAUUGCCUAUAGCACUAAGAAGUAAUGUAGCAGCAUCCUAUUUGUGAUAAAAAAUCGGUUGACUAGUUCCUCAGAUAGCGCGUGCAAAUAAACAAACUCUUCUGUAAUAUUUCUAUAGAUUAGUUCGUUUGCCAAUGUGUGUUUUUAUGAACAAAGAUUAAUGAUUCUCUACUUUAGGUUUAGUUUUUAUUUAAACUUUUCCUCCCUGUCAUUUAAGGUUUAACUUAAAAAUAAAUCAAAUUUGUUCCAUCAUCACAUAGCGAUUUUAUUUUCCCCACUAAUUUAGUUUCCACCAAUCCUGUAUCCACAGUGACCCAUAAUGCCUCAUUUAGACUCUCGGUGAAGAACUUGGCGAAUUCGUGGCCGAAUAUCUAACUGAUUUAUGAUGAAUACACCCGAAUAUAGUGUCUACACACUCGUACGUGACUAUUCUUCUGUAGUCGGCAAUUAUUUUAAUCAGGGGUAACGCGGUUUCGUCUAUAUUAUGUAUAAAUUAUUACUGCACGUCACUAUUGACAAUAAUGUACAACUAGCUCCUUCAACGUAAUUGUGAAUUAAUACGAAUAUUGAUAAGUGGACAAACGUCAAACCGAUGUAAAACACUGGACGUUGCCUUAGCACACCGUUUUGAUGUAAGGUCACGUUAAAAACUCCCUUAAAUGUUUAUUAAUUAUAAACUUUAUAUACGAAAUAGUAUAUAGGUGGAAUUAAUGCCAAAAGCAUUUUCUACCAGUCGAUAAUGGCGGUGCAGAGAUGAACAAUGAUUACAAAUGGUGAGUUAAGAAAUUUAACUAAAUUUAUAUAAUAUAUUAUACAAAAAAAAUGUAUAUGUAUUAUAAAAUAAUUUUAAAAAUAAAUUUAAUUAAGGAAUAAAAGUUUUAACAGUGACAUUAAAUUGAUGAAUUCAUUGUAAUUUUCAUGUAUUUUAUUAGACUUUAGACUUAGACUGUUGUGCUCAACUCUUCAGCUUUAUGGUUUAAGAUAUUUGUUUCUCGAAAAGAAUUAUAUUCACUUACAUGAGAAAUUGUUUUUAACUAAUAUACUAAACUAAACUGCAUUUUUGGCGUUUAAUCGGAACAGAGUUUGAAACAGAGUGAGGGUAGGUUUGUAUUAAAAAGAAAUUAUUUUCAUUAUAUCAAAUAUGGUAGUGCAUAGAAACCAAGUAACAAAACUUUAUAUGUUAGUAUAGAUUAUCCAUACCGGAACAAAUGCAAUGCAGUUUGACAACCGAAUUAGACAAUGUUUACCUUUUCACUAAUCGAGAGGCCUACGACUUACUUCUAGUAACUUCAAUUAUUUUUACAGGUCCAACGGUAAUAUGGGCAAAGAGUUGUCUCGGAAAGCAGUUGAUUAUAGUAAAUGAUUUCCCGUUCGUUUUAGACGGUAGAUUUAGGUUCAGUAACAUUUGGCGGUGCAUGUCAAGGACGUCUGUUUCUUGUAAGGCCCGGUUCGUCCUCAUCGACGGCAAGUUGUACAAGGCAAUAUUACAUCACACGCACAAGGCACGCAAAUACUGCAUCAAGAAAGGAGUUUAUCUCAAAUUGUGAUUUAUAUGCAGUGAUAUGGGUCAAGAACACCACCGGCACGCUAAUGGCUUUCAUCAAUAACUAUACGUUUACGGCAGUUUCUUCGUCUGACACCGUGUGGCGGUGCACCAGAACCUCUCCAAGAUGCAAGGCUCGCUUCUCUCUCGUCAACAAUAUGAUAACCAAAGCUCGACUCGAACAUAACCAUCCUUUUCGCAAAUUCGUCAUAAGAAAUGGUAUAUUUUUUAGACUAUGAUUACUGUUCAUAUGAGUUUUUGACGGCAGAUCUGCUUGCGUGAACGUUGUGAUAAAUAGAUCAUAAUAUCGAAAGAUUGUGAUAAUUGUAUAUUUAAUUUUAGAUGUACCAACCCACAAAUUAUCCAAAAAUGAGAUUAAGUUUUAAAACGCAUUUAAUUCUAAUGUGAUACUUUACUGUUCUGCAAAACACGACAAGAUCUAUUUAUAUCUGAUACAAAAAAGUAUGUGUAAAUUAAUCAAUUUUUUUUUUAUUCAUAAGAAAUUCAGCUGUCAUAAAUAACAAUCCACAAAUGUUUUAAAGUAGUUGGUACAUUUUGACAUAACUGAACGAUAAACCAUCGGGUUUGAAAGAAAGAUGUAAACAUAUUGAAAUAAACUUGAUUUGAAAAUAAAUGAUACAGUUUGUUAUGUUACCUCCACUUUUAAAAAUUCAGUGUUGAGAUACGACUCACAUAGUACCUUAUGCUGAGUUGGUCAUCUAGUUUCGCGGUAUGGACAUUUAGUCAGUAUGUUUUUUUAUAUAUUCUUGUUUAAAAGUUUACUUGUGAUAAUCUGGUCCUCUGCUGCGAUAAUCAAUUUUUCUUAAUUAUUUUUUUCUCAAAGACAUGCCAACCGUUGCUGUCGCAUUAAUCCGAAAAAAAAUCCCGAUGCUUUACUUCGGAAUUAAAAGCCGAAUCUAGCCCAGGAUUUACGCAUAUCUUUAAUCCAAAAUUUGUAAAUCCUUCCAGCGCUUCCAAACAUCAAAUAAUUUUCAUCUAUUUCCAGAUACAAUAACGUGGGUUAGGAACUGCGCCGGGAGUAGGAUAGCGUUGGUCAAUGACUUCCCAUUUACCUUAGACACUUCUAGUACAAAGGGCAAUAUAUGGCGGUGUACCAGGACCGCGCCACGGUGCAAAGCUCGGUUCACGCUCAUCGACAACAAGGAGAUUGCCAAAGCCCUUCUUGAACACAAUCAUCCGCGUCGCAAAUUCAUUAUCAAAAACGGGAUUUUUAUUAGGAUAUAAUUUGUAUGUCAGCUAUAUGGGCUAUUGGUCUAUGCUUAUUGUAAAGUGGAAUUUAAUAAUAGAAAUGUAAUAAAAUAAAUUAGUUAUACUUUUUUUAUUCGAUUAAAAACAGUAAUUAUAUAUGCUUGCUAAAAUUGUUUGGAACAAAUUGUUUUUAGUCAUAUAACCGUCUGUUACGUUGGCUGUAUUAUUUCGAUGUGAAUUUAGUGUUACGAUAGUGGUGUAAAAUAGUGUUUUCUAUCCAAAGAAUUCGUAUAUAAUGCUUAAGACUCGAAGAAUAUUCACUAUCGAAUUGUUAAUUCUCGUACGAUUUUGCAUUAGGCUGUUAUGUUUGAAGACGUCGUUCAUAAAACCAUGGUGUGAAAUCAAAAUAUUAUUGUGUGUAAGUUAAACGUUCUUGAAAUAUGUCAUAAUAAACGUGAUUUAUAAGCAUUAAUAAUACAUUUUUUUUUUGUUGGACUAACUAGACCCUCUACAGCUUUUUAUUGAACAGUAGGUGUCGCGCCUAGGUCUAAAACCUUUCUCAGUAUCAGAGUCCCACGCAUUUCCUCAAAUAAAAACCCUAUAUGCCAACCCAGGACAUGAUCCUUCUGUACUCAAAAUCCAACUCCAUUCCCAAGUCUCUUCCAAACAUCGAUUACUUUCGCAUUUAUAUGUAAGAUCAAAUAUUUACAGAUACGGUGACUUGGGUAAGAAACUUCUCCGGGACUCAAAUGGCGUUGGUCAACAACUUCACCUUUACUGUAGACACCUCGUCAAUUAAAGGUCAUAUUUGGCGAUGCACCUCAAGAUCAACUCCCAGGUGUAAGGCUCGAUUCCAUCUAGAAGAUGGCAAGAUAGUCAAAGCAACCCUCGAACACAACCAUCCGGCUCGGCGAUAUGUUAUUGUCAAUGGAAAUUAUUGUAAAAUAUAAUACAUGAGCUGUACUUGAAUGUUGAUGAAAGGAACAUGAUCGGACCAAGUUAUUAGUUUAAUAUGGCAAGAAGGGCAUUGUUGAGUUAUAACUGUUUAAUAAAUUUUAAUAAAUAAAA
rnacentral:lncRNA from 1 species